rnacentral:rRNA from 1 species
GACGAACGCUGGCGGCGCGCUUAACACAUGCAAGUCGAACGGAAAGGCCUGCUUUCCCUUGUGGAUUGCGGGUACUCGAGUGGCGAACGGGUGAGUAACACGUGAGUGAUCUGCCCCCAACUUGGGUAUAAGCCUGGGAAACUGGGUCUAAUUCCCGAUAGGACUGCAGGGUGGUGCCUGUGGUGGAAAACGAUUUUCUAGUGGUUGGGGAUGAGCUCGCGGCCUAUCAGCUUGUUGGUGGGGUAAUGGCCUACCAAGGCGGCGACGGGUAGCCGGCCUGGGAGGGUGGACGGCCACAUUGGGACUGAGAUACGGCCCAGACUCCUACGGGAGGCAGCAGUGGGGAAGAUGGCACAAUGGGCGGAAGCCUGAUGCAGCGACGCCGCGUGGGGGAUGACGGCCUUCGGGUUGUAAACUCCUUUCGACCGCGAGGAAGCCACCUGGUUGGAAGGGUGGUGACGGUAGUGGUAGAAGAAGCACCGGCUAACUACGUG